GAUGAACGCUAGCUACAGGCUUAACACAUGCAAGUCGAGGGGCAGCAUGGUCUUAGCUUGCUAAGGCCGAUGGCGACCGGCGCACGGGUGAGUAACACGUAUCCAACCUGCCGUCUACUCUUGGACAGCCUUCUGAAAGGAAGAUUAAUACAAGAUGGCAUCAUGAGUUCACAUGUUCACAUGAUUAAAGGGUAUUCCGGUAGACGAUGGGGAUGCGUUCCAUUAGAUAGUAGGCGGGUAACGGCCCACCUAGUCUUCGAUGGAUAGGGGUUCUGAGAGGAAGGUCCCCCACAAUUUGGAACUGAGACACGGUCAAACU
rnacentral:rRNA from 1 species